GCUUUGAUAAGACUCCAGUAUGCUAACAGCUUGGUGUGGUGUCCCUUCUCAGGGCCAGGAAGUGCCUGUUGAGGCAGGACUUCCUGUCUGAGGUACAGAGGGCCGCCGCAGAGACCCCGGGGCGAGGGCCCCUGCUACUGCUGGGGGCUCCUGGUUCGGGGAAGAGCUGCGUCCUGGCCAGGGCCUCACAGCUACUCUGCACUCGUCUACCUGGAGCCGUGGAGGUCGUGUGUUUCAUCGGCCUCACCGGCGAGAGCAGGAACAUUCGCCUGGUCCUGCAGAGUCUGUGUCUCCAGCUGGCCCAGGCCUACGCUGCCCCUCGCGGCCAGCUCUCUACGGGUCUCCCCCAGCUGAGGGCCGAGUUCCUCUCCCUGCUGGGCCGAGGGUCCGCCUCCAGGCCCCCGGUGCUGCUGCUGGACGGGCUGGACGAGCUGUCGGAGGAGGAGCGCGCUGCGGACCUGUCCUGGCUGGAAGGGCCCCUGCCCCCCCACGCCCACCUCCUCCUGUCGGCCGCCGCCGGCUCGGCCGCCG
rnacentral:lncRNA from 1 species